GGCCGGGUGGUGGAUGAGUGCGCCCGGGCCCGCGUGCUUGCCAGGCACACCUCGGCCAGGUUUUGUGGAAGAUUGCUUCUGGGAAUGCUCAAACUCUGUGAGAAGAUUCGUAGAGUGCCCCCUUGCCCCUGGCACCCCCAGCUCCAGCUGCUGCCGUGGAGAUAUUAGGGGGACAUAGCCCUGAUGUCAUCUUCUUGUUCAUAUGCUGGAAAGGACCUGAAUUAAAGAAAGAUGCUGCCCUGAGCCUCAGUUCCUCCGCUUCCCUUGUAUGGAUGCUACUGGAGGGUUCAGCUGGGAAGUCAAGGUAAAGGUCAAG